rnacentral:rRNA from 1 species
AGUGAACGCUGGCGGUAGGCUCACACAUGCAAGUCGAACGGCAGCACCGUAAGAGCUUGCUCUUACGGGUGGCGAGUGGCGGACGGGUGAGGAAUACAUCGGAAUCUACUUUUUCGUGGGGGAUAACGUAGGGAAACUUACGCUAAUACCGCAUACGACCUACGGGUGAAAGCAGGGGAUCUUCGGACCUUGCGCGAUUGAAUGAGCCGAUGUCGGAUUAGCUAGUUGGCGGGGUAAAGGCCCACCAAGGCGACGAUCCGUAGCUGGUCUGAGAGGAUGAUCAGCCACACUGGAACUGAGACACGGUCCAGACUCCUACGGGAGGCAGCAGUGGGGAAUAUUGGACAAUGGGCGCAAGCCUGAUCCAGCCAUACCGCGUGGGUGAAGAAGGCCUUCGGGUUGUAAAGCCCUUUUGUUGGGAAAGAAAAGCAGCAGGUUAAUACCCCGCUGUUCUGACGGUACCCAAAGAAUAAGCACCGGCUAACUUCGUG